rnacentral:rRNA from 1 species
CACGUAGGAGGCAAACGUUAUCCGGAUUUACUGGGCGUAAAGCGCGUGUAGGUGGUUCUGUAAGUAGGGCGUGAAAGCUCCCGGCUCAACUGGGAGAGGCCGUUCUAAACUGCAGAGCUAGAGGAUGGUAGAGGGAGGUGGAAUUCCAGGUGUAGCGGUGGAAUGCGCAGAUAUCUGGAGGAACACCAGUGGCGAAGGCGGCCUCCUGGACCAUUCCUGACACUCAGACGCGAAAGCUAGGGUAGCAAACAGGAUUAGAUACCCCGGUAGUCCCU